rnacentral:lncRNA from 1 species
GAAGCUCAAGUUCACCAUGAACCACAGCAGUAAGCCAUGCUUUAGCCUCUGACCUGUGCUCCAAUUUUGGCACAAUGAUUUCUGCCAUGUUCUCCAACAGCAACUUUUGUAAAGUAAACAUUACUAUCCUCAUUUCAGGGUGAGGAAACAGACAGCACUAAGAGAAAAAGCUGGAACUCAAAACCAAAUUAACUCCAAACUUGAGUUUUCCCACUUCGACAAGAAAAGGAACUGCAUGUGUUUUUCUGCCUCUUCCAGAUGUAUGUCAUAAAAGUUGGAUGCCUUCCUUUUAAGACAUUUGAAUGGAUCACCAAAUAAUUACCUACUUUUCUCUCACAACUCAGAUAAAUAAUUAAAAGGAGAUAUACACAGA